ACGAGCUUAUUUCACAACCAUAACACGAGGUACUUGUUGAUAUCGCGCGACAUCGCGUGAGAAAAAGACAAACGAGUUGGUCUCUGCUGUACGGCUCUACACAUCGAGUUUUUAUUUUCAAGUAUUAUAACCUACUGAAAUUAUAGUUAGUUUAAGAUAAUAAUUCGAUAGAAUGAAAAAAAGACUUUGAAGUAGCAAGCACAUAUCGUUGUGGUCGCCGUUCUAUACUGCUCGUGUUUACACCUUUCUCGAAUAUUUACGACGCGCACUGGACCACCGGUGACGGACGUCUGCUCGCUCACAUACACACAAACACAUAUCAAUAUAUACGCUACACGCAUAAAACCGAAAUUUAGCCAAUGCGUUCGAGGAAAAUCUCGUCAGCUCACCACUCAGUGCUCAUGUAGUAUCGAUGGUUACUUGUGGAGCUGAAGAUUCGACUCACGAGGAACUGCGUCAAGCCCUACAGCUAUACCUGAGGAUCAAAAUGUAUUACAGGAAGGUUAUAAGGCAUUUAUAGAAUAUAAUUAGAGCAAUUUGUCAAAACAGCGAAAAAGACACGGAAAGAAUUCAUGUGUAUGAAACUGCAAGUAUUCAAGCUACUUCUUAAACUCCAAGAGUUGGAUCGUGACUUGAUUAUAUACGCACUGUUUUUUGAAAGAAAUUUUACAAAAAUGAAAAUGAAAAUUUCAGAAUUUUCCACAAGUCACGCUCAAAAUAGCGAAUAAAAUUUAUGUCAAUAAUUUGCAGGAAAAAUUAACAAGUGGUGCGAAGAGAAGACUGACGGCAAGAUAAAAAAUCUUGUUGCUGCCGCUGAUUUUUCCGGGAAUACCGAUAUCGUACUUUUGAGUGCGACAUAUUUGAAAGCCCAAUAGAAAACUCUUUUCAAAGAGAAAGGCACAGAAGAUAGAAGAUUUUACUUGAAUAAAAAUGAUAAAGUAGUCCAAAAGGCUUUUAUCGCUGUCGAUGAGUUUGGUACGGAGGCCGGUGCUGCUUCUUACGUAGUAAUGAGUUGGAGAAAACUGACACCAAUUCUCAAAGUUGACAGACCAUUUAUUUAUCAAAUAGUCGAUAUGAAGCGUAG